rnacentral:rRNA from 1 species
AGCAGCCGCGGUAAUUCCAGCUCCAAUAGCGUAUAUUAAAGUUGUUGCAGUUAAAAAGCUCGUAGUUGAAUUUCGGGAUCAAGUCGUCGGUCGUGCUCAGGUACGUACUGGCGUCAUUGAUUUCUCCCUUCUGACGAACCAUGAUGUCAUUAACUUGGUGUCAUGGGAAAUCAGGACUGUUACUUUGAAAAAAUUAGAGUGUUUAAAGCAGGCUCACGCUUGAAUACAUUAGCAUGGAAUAAUGAAAUAGGACGUUCGAUCCUAUUUUGUUGGUUUUAGGAUCAACGUAAUGAUUAAUAGGGAUAGUUGGGGGCAUUAGUAUUCAAUUGUCAGAGGUGAAAUUCUUGGAUUUAUUGAAGACUAACUACUGCGAAAGCAUUUGCCAAGGAUGUUUUCAUUAAUCAAGAACGAAAGUUAGGGGAUCGAAGACGAUCAGGUACCGUCGUAGUCUUAACCAUAAACUAUGCCGACUAGGGAUCGGAUGA